rnacentral:rRNA from 1 species
CAUACCCUCAGAUCUGGGAUAACUCCGGGAAACUGGAGAUAAUACCGGAUAAUCCGUGAACGCUGGAAUGCCUUACGGUUUAAAGCUUUAGCGUCUGAGGAUGGGUCUGCGGCCGAUUAGGUAGUUGCUGGGGUAACGUCCCAACAAGCCGAUAAUCGGUACGGGUUGUGAGAGCAAGAGCCCGGAGAUGGAUUCUGAGACACGAAUCCAGGUCCUACGGGGCGCAGCAGGCGCGAAAACUUUACACUGCGCGAAAGCGCGAUAAGGGGACCUCGAGUGCGUGCGCAAUGCGUACGCUUUUCAUACGCCUAAAAAGCAUGUGGAAUAAGAGCCGGGCAAGACCGGUGCCAGCCGCCGCGGUAACACCGGCGGCUCGAGUGGUGGCCGCUAUUAUUGGGCUUAAAGGGUCCGUAGCCGGACCAGUUAGUCCCUUGGGAAAUCUUACGGCUUAACCGUAAGGCUGCCAAUGGAUACUGCUGGUCUUGGGACCGGGAGAGGCAAGAGGUACCUCAGGGGUAGGAGUGAAAUCCUGUAAUCCUUGAGGGACCGCCAGUGGCGAAGGCGUCUUGCUAGAACGGGUCCGACGGUGAGGGACGAAAGCUAGGGGCACGAACCGGAUUAGAUACCCGGGUAGUCCUAGCCGUAAACGAUGCGAGCUAGGUGUCACGUGGAUUGCGAAUCCAUGUGGUGCCGUAGGGAAACCGUGAAGCUCGCCGCCUGGGAAGUACGGCCGCAAGGCUGAAACUUAAAGGAAUUGGCGGGGGAGCA